UUUGCGUUCGAUCGGAGUCCGAGACCUUUGCAGCCUUGGUACCGAUGUAACGCUGGCGAAGCUGUUGACCAGCGGGAUGCGGUGGUGGUUGUAGUUGCCCUUGAACUCGACGUAGGUACCAGUUCUCUUCCCCUCGCAUUGCGCAGCUCCAGCCGCCCAUUCUCUUCCUUCCACACCACCCACUUCUUCCUCUCCCCCGCCCCAAGUCGCCCCUCAAAAUAUCUCCUCCUCCUCUCGUCCUACUAUUCCCUCGCUCGCUCGCUCCUUGCUCGCGAUGGCGAUUCCCUCGUUGACUGAUCGGAAUCCCACGGGCCUUGUGGCUUGAAUCCCGUCAAGUUUCCCAGUUCGAAUGGUCGAUGGUCGAGUCCUGGCUGCGGUUCUUGCCUGGAAUCGAUGUUCCAUGUCGACCCCGAUGUGAAUCGCGCUGCCCGUCAUUGGAUCGGGUUCAGCGCGGCGUGCCCUCUUUCUUGGCAUGUCGGUGCCGCAGGAUUCCUUCGGAGUAGCGACUCAGAUACGAGAUGCUGGCGGAGGUAGAAAUCGGCAUCGGCUUGGUCGUAGAAUUGGUAAAAGAUUGCGUUUUGGGAUUCUCUCGAAUGAGCUUCGAUUUAGGUGCGCGGCAUCUACGCCACCGGGGAAGAGUGGUAACCCCAACUUGCCCGUUGAUUUGGUUAGCUCUGCUAGGGGAACUGUCAUCAAACAGAUUUCGGGCAAGCUGGACAACAAGGAUCCGAAACACUUGGCGUCCAGCUUUACGAACUACAGGGACGAUCCUUUGGUGGAUAAGCAAAGGACGCAGCUUGGCGUGAUUCGUUCCAUCCCUUCUCCGCCCAUAAAUAGGAAUAUCGCAGGCUUCUUCGUGCUCUUUUUCCUCGUUGGAGUGGCUUUCGACAAGGUUUGGAAUUUAAGGAAGAGGGAGAAGUCGGCCCGGGACGUCGACAAUGGCACGUGGCCACAGGCACCAACGAGCCUCUCUAUAUUUCUUGAGAAGGACCUUCGGAGGAAAGAGUCGGUCGAAUGGGUAAACAUGGUCUUGGGGAAGCUUUGGAAGGUCUAUAGGUCCAGAAUCGAGGAUUGGGUUAUUGGGUUGCUCCAGCCGGUAAUAGAUAACCUCAAAAAGCCUGAUUAUGUGCAGAGAGUUGAGAUUAAGCAGUUUUCCAUUGGGGAUGAGCCACUAUCUGUCAGGAGCGUUGAAAGGAGAACUUCUCGUGGUGUUAAUGACUUGCAGUAUCAGAUUGGCAUUCGUUACACUGGUGGUGCUCAGAUGUUGCUGUCCCUAUCAUUAAAUUUUGGCAUUAUUCCCAUUGUUGUACCUGUUGGGAUCCGUGAUUUUGAUAUAGAUGGAGAGCUUUGGGUAAAGUUACGGUUAAUACCCACUGGACCAUGGAUAGGGGCUGUGUCAUGGGCUUUUGUGUCUCUUCCAAAAAUUAAGUUUGAGCUCUCACCAUUCAGUCUGUUCAAUCUAAUGGCAAUUCCUGUUCUCUCAAUGUUUCUUACAAGGCUUCUAACAGAAGAUUUGCCUCGACUCUUUGUGCUUCCAAAAAAGAUCGUUCUUGAUUUCCAGAAGGGGAAAGCACUUGGUCCUGUUUCACAUGAUUUUAAAGUUGAAGCAGUGCAGGAGAGAAGUAAAGAUUUUGUUGGAGAACUGUCAGUCACUCUUGUGGAUGCUCGAAAACUUGCUUAUCCCAAAAUUGGGAAGACAGAUCCAUAUGUUGUUUUAACUCUUGGUGAUCAAGUAUUUCAGAGUAAGAAAAAUAGCCAGACAACAGUCACUGGACCUCCUGGAGAACCAAUUUGGAACCAAGAUUUUGAUCUGUUUGUUGUAAAUCCUGGAAAGCAGAAGCUGUACAUCCAAGUAAAAGACUCCUUUGGUUUCGCAGAUUUCACAGUUGGCACAGCAGAGGUCGAGCUAGAGUCCCUACAAGAUACAGUGCCUGCAGACAGAGUAGUUGCUUUACGUGGUGGAUGGAGUCUAUUCAGAAAUAAAUCAUCUGGAGAAGUAUUACUUCGACUCACAUAUAAAGCUUAUGUUGAGGAUGAAGAAGAUGAUCUGUUGGAAGCAGAGUUUGUGGAUGAUCAUGCACCUGAUGAUAUCUCAGACUAUGACCAACCAAAUGGAACAUUUGAGCAAAGUGGUUAUCCUAGUGGAAAAGAAAGAGAAGCCUUUAUGGAUGUCCUGGCGGCUUUGAUUGUGAGUGAGGAAUUCCAAGGAAUAGUGACAUCUGAAACAGAAAAUUCAGAAGUUACUGGUGAAUCUAGAAAUGUGACAUCCCCAGUAUCAACAACAAUAGGUCUUACUGAUGAGACGUCUACUAUUGAUUCAAACAGAAGUUCCAGUAGUUCUGAUGAUUUAGAACUAGUAUGGCUUGCUGUGGUAACGGUUACAGUGGUUCUGAUUGCUCGUACCAUGGGUGAUUCAAGCUUGUUCAAUCCAUAGCAUUUGCAGGAUGCAGUCUCCCUUCUGAAAAAAGAAGAGGGUAGUCGGUUUAGAGAUUCUAAGCCUAGCGAUACAGAAACCAGUCAGAUUGUUGUAUUUCAAAUUCUUCCACCGGUAAGGCUCCAUUCUGUACAUGCUCCAGGGCAGAGUGGAAUCAACUAAAUGAUUAUUGUUCAAAAUUCUUCUUCUCAUGUAAAAUUAGCUCACUACAGUAAAAAUGCUUUUGCAACCAUUUCUGGGGUUCAAUUCACAUCUCUAAUUCUCACAUCUUUCCUCCAUUGUCCACUUAACUUAGGAAUGUUCCGUUUAUGUCCGUCCAUUAGGGAUGGUAAUCUCAGUGGGCUGUAUCUACAGGAACAAUGCUCUGUCAAAGACCUCCAAACCGUAUGAAAUCUGAAGGAAAAAUGAAGACCACAAAGACUCUUUGAGGCGGAACUUGGUCUUGAGACAUGGCUUGGUUUCGUGAUGAACAUGCAAGUUGUUGUCCUAUAUGCUACUAAGCAGGGGGAAGUCGUUGACCCAAUGUACAGUUGCAGCCGUUGGUAUUGGUGGGUUAGAGAUGCUUCAGUGGGAUUUGUGUAAAAGCUACAAUACUUCCCUGCUUUUGUUUUUGUUAAUAUCAGUACGAAUCAUAUUGUUGGCUAUCAUCA